GGUGGCUCGGUCGAUGGUGAUUGCGGCUGAUGCUCUUCCUCCGCCGCCGGUUCUACUUCCAUUCCUUGCUUGUCGGGCUUUCUUCAUCUCCUCCCACCAUCCCGGGAAACCAUGGAUGUGGAAGCAUGUUUUUUUUGUGUGCUUCUUGCCUCCACAAUGGCUGCAAACUAACUUGUAUUUGUCUUCCUCCCUCCGGUUGGUGAAGUUCCUCGGUAGUUGGUGGCUCUGGGUGAUGGCCGGUCGAUUUCUGUCGAUUACUGCAAGUCCGACUCCGAUUCCGGUCACUUUGGGUUCUGGAUUCAUGAGUUUGUUGUUUAUGGAUUCCCUCCUAACCAAACCGUAAGCUUUGUGAGCUGUUGGUAUUGGUUCCAUGUUUAAGAUCUCUCUUUUGACCUUAUCGUAUCAAUCGUCAAGUGCCCAGAUGAACUGGUAGAGCCGGUGCUUAUGUGUAUUCCGGUUGUAUUUCUCGAUGCUUGAGGGAGUAUCCAUUGGGUUCGAAACAUGGAAUUGAUCGGCACCGCUUCCGUAUGUAGUGGCCAGACCGUCCCAUAGGUCUCGGGCCGUUUCGUACUGGGAAACCUCAUUCACGAGGCUGGCAUCGAUGUUUCCGAUGAUCCAGUUGAAGCAACAAUGGUCUCGUUGUUCCCAUCGUGCGUGACUUGGGUCAGUCGGUAGGGGCGGGUCUAAAACUCCAGAAAUGUGAGAUGUCAAGCCCUUCCCAUCGAUUUCCCUCCUCAUCAGUUUUGCCCACAACGGGUAGUUUUCUCCGUUGAGUUUUUCACUAACAUGGACUUCUCCAAAUGAUUCUGUUUGAGGAGGAGGCUGGUGUGUUGCCUUCUGAGACAUACUCAUUCUCAUAAGCUCUUGGAAUUGUUCGGCUGUGAGGGUUAUAGGUUGGUUGGUGAUUGAGAGAUUUUCUGUUUCAGAAUCUGACAUUCUGUUUGUUUGGUUGUUUUGGCAGGAAAAAGGUCGGGAAAGGUAUUCGAGAUUAUGUGAUAUUUUUCUGAGUCUCAAGCCCGAGUAAACCCGCUCUGAUGCCAUCUUAAAGAUGGUAAUCGAGAGGGGCGAGAUAUGUAGGACAUUUUAUAUUUGAUAGAGAGAAUUUAGGAGUGGAGAAUGUUUUGUAUUUCCUUGAAUUAUUUUAUAGAUGCAAAUCUCCCCAAUAUUUAUAGGGGGAUUUGAGACUCUUCAGUGCACUCAUUUAAUGUGCUUGGAACAAUGCAUAGCAUGGGAACACCACAAGAAUAACUAAAGUUCUAGGAA